GGGUAUAAAAUUGCACACUUGUCUUUCCAUCCCAGCGUCAAUAUCAUUCUGGAACUUUCUUGCAGCAACACCAGAUGAUGUAAAUAUUGAUGCUCCAUUACCAUACCUGUUUCUAUUUACAAUGGUUAUAGCCUCUUCUAGAUUGUCAGCCUGCAUACAAAGAAGAACUGGGCCAAAAAUUUCUUCCUGCUCAACACAAACAUUGCCGUCAAGAAUAAGGCAAGGUCUUUGGUUCAACUCCUCAACUGAGAAUCAUAAAU
rnacentral:misc_RNA from 1 species